CCGGUCAAACGUCAUACGACAUAGGGUUAUAGAAAGGAAACUAUUUGCCGUAAGAGACGAUACGAAUCGUAUGUUUAUAAUUAUUGUUGUAUUACGGUUUAUUUCAAAUAUGUUAUGGAGUCAUUUAUAUGUUUAUUUGGUAUGUGAUAUCGUUUUCUAUAGAUAUUUAAACUUAUUUAUUUUGUCUAAUGGUUUGUUUAAUACUGAAAGAAAAAAAAGUUGACGAUUUCCUUUCUUGCAUAAGGUUCAACAGCAAGUUUUUUUUUUUUUUUUUUUUUUUUUUUUGUGAUUUCAAUAUUUUGAAUAGUUGGAUUUAAAUGCGGGAAUGUUUCAUGUUUCAUUAUGUGUAUUACUGCAGAAACAAAAAAUGUAUUUAGCUAUGAACAAUCAAUUCCAAUUCAUUGUGAUAUUACUAAUAUAAGAUAAGUAUGAAAUAGAUGAGCACACCCUCAAUCGUUUUCUAUAGAGUACGACAUCUAUAGGGAAUUUGCAUAACUAACUUUCUGUAAACACUAGAAGCCAUUUUGUUACUCAAAGAAACCUUGUGAGGUGUCUGAGUUUAACGGAAGAUAGGGAAGAAAUGGGUAAAUGGGAUAAACAUGAAUGGUAAUGAAAUACAUGUAAAGAGAACAAAGCAAGAUGUAUUCAAGAUGCAAUAAAGUGGCACAAAUAUCCCCCAAGUGUUUCCAGUGAAACCCACCGGUUCUUGGCUCUGCUAUACUAUGUCUAAGUUAGAUGUAAUUAUUUGUUUCCUAACUAAUAUUAUAUUGUUAUAAUUAUGAUAGAUAUGAUUCUUUAUUUCGAUGUGUGUUUUCUUGUGUAUUACUAUAUAUUCAUAUAUGUAGUCGAAAGGAAUUAUAUAUGUGUAUUGUCUUCAGUGUUUGCCGCAAAUGCAUUUAUUUGAUGGAUCACCGUGGAAAUAGAUUUAUUUAAUGUACGGGAUUUAUUGUAUUUAUUUUUAGUUUAUUUAUAUCCUAUUAUUCUUUGCAUUUCCUCAUUUCUUAUAGUUAUGAAUUGAGAGGUAUUUAGCAUAUGGAAUAUACUCUAUUUUAUACAAAUUGAUAAUAAAGUUACAACAGCGUA